rnacentral:SRP_RNA from 1 species
GUCUGUAGUCCCAGCUACUCGGGAGGCUGAGAUGGGAGGUAUUGCUUGAGCCCAGGAGUUCUGGGCUGUAGUGUGCUACGCCAGUCAGGUGUUCGCACUAAGUUCGGCAUCAAUAUGGUGACCUCCCGGGAGCGGGGGACCACCGGUUGCCUAAGGAGGGGUGAACCAGCCUAGGUCGGAUAUGGAGCAGGUCAAAGCUCCCGUGCUGAUCAGUAGUGGGAUCGCACCUGUGAAUAGCCACUGCACUCCAGCCUGGGCAACAUAGCAAGACCCCAUCUCUU